rnacentral:rRNA from 1 species
UCCGUAGGUGAACCUGCGGAAGGAUCAUUAUGAUAACAAACUCUUUGCGCAAGCAAAGUUUUAAACCCACUGUGAACCAAAUACCUUUUAGCUUCGGCAGCAUUGCUCUGAGUUUGCGCUCAGCGUCUGUUAGUCUGCCGGCAGCACCAAACCAAACUCUUGUUUAAAAAAUCUAGUCUGAAUCAAAAUUUUCGAAUGAAAAUCAAAACUUUCAACAACGGAUCUCUUGGUUCUCGCAUCGAUGAAGAACGCAGCGAAACGCGAUAGUUAAUGUGAAUUGCAGAAUUCAGUGAAUCAUCGAGUCUUUGAACGCACAUUGCGCCCUUUGGUAUUCCGAAGGGCAUGUCUGUUUGAGCGUCAUUACAACUCCUCGUUAACAAAUUUUUGUCAACGGUCUUGGGCGGUUAAGUGUAUCCCACACGCCGCUUUAAACCCACCUAAUGAAUGCUCUGCCAGCCAGACCUUGAAAACUUUACGUAGUAGUAUUUCACAAACCGUUAAGGAAGAUAGGACUUCGCUAGGCCUGAAAAAUUGUAAAAUCAACCUCUCUAGGUUUGACCUCAGAUCAGACAAGGAUACCCGCUGAACUUAAGCAUAUCAAUAAGCGGAGGA